AGCAGCCGCCGCGGUAAUACGUAGGGUGCGAGCGUUAAUCGGAAUUACUGGGCGUAAAGCACACGCAGGCGGUUUGUUAAGUCAGAUGUGAAAUCCCCGAGCUUAACUUGGGAACUGCAUUUGAAACUGGCAAGCUAGAGUGUGGCAGAGGGGGGUGGAAUUCCGCGUGUAGCAGUGAAAUGCGCAGAUAUGCGGAGGAACACCGAUGGCGAAGGCAGCCCCCUGGGCCAACACUGACGCUCAUGCACGAAAGCGUGGGGAGCAAACAGGAUUAGAUACCCCAGUAGUCCCUGUCUCUUAUAC
rnacentral:rRNA from 1 species